rnacentral:misc_RNA from 1 species
CAGAGUUCAUGCCCUUCGGGGUAGACCUCCCACCCUUUGUAUACAUACCAUUGUUGCUUCGGCGGGCACGCGCGUGGCUGGCUUCGGCCGCCGCGCGCCCGCCAAAGGACCCCUAACUCUGAUAUAUUGUGUCGUCUGAGUACUAUAUAAUAGUUA